rnacentral:rRNA from 1 species
UGGGGAAUUUUGCACAAUGGGGUAAACCCUGAUGCAGCGACGCCGCGUGAUUUAGAAGGCCUUCGGGUUGUAAAAAUCUUUUUUACGGGAUGAAAAUGACAGUACCGUAAGAAUAAGGUCCGGCUAAAUACGUGCCAGCAGCCGCGGUAAUACGUAUGGACCGAGCGUUGUCCUGAAUCAUUGGGCGUAAAGGGUACGUAGGCGGCCUAGUAAGUUAGAAGUGAAAUAAUAUAGCUCAACUAUAUAAAGCUUUUAAAACUGCUAGGCUUUCUAGAUGGAAGGGAUAGUGGAAUUCCUAGUGUAGCGGUGAAAUGCGGAGAUAUUAGGAAGAAUAACGGUGGCGAAGGCGACUUUCUUGUCAUCAUCUGACGCUGAGUUACGAAAGCGUGGGUAGCAAACAGG